UCACCCCAUUUCAUACUGUUUGAAAAAAAUAGAGACAACAAUGUUUUGUAUAGGUGUUUUUUUAGUGACUAAGUCCCUUCCUACAUAAGGCAACGUAAAUCUUACAUUCUUGCGUCGCGAUUAUAUCGUUAUAUAGAGCGUCGGUGGCUCAGAGGUUAAGCA